AUUGAACGCUGGCGGCAGGCCUAACACAUGCAAGUCGAACGAGUGGCGGACGGGUGAGUACUGUCUGGGAACCUGCCCGAUGGAGGGGGAUACCUACUGGAAACGGUAGCUAAUACCGCAUACCAUCGGAUGUGCCCAGAUGGGAUUAGCUAGUGGGUGGGGUAAAGGCUCACCUAGGCGACGAUCCGUAGCUGGUCUGAGAGGAUGACCAGCCACACUGGAACUGAGACACGGUCCAGACUCCUACGGGAGGCAGCAGUGGGGAAUAUUGGACAAUGGGCGAAAGCCUGAUGCAGCCAUGCCGCGUGUAUGAAGAAGGCCUUCGGGUUGUAAAGUACUUUUGGCAGGGAGGCGGUACCUGCAGAAGAAGCACCGGCUAACUACGUGCCAGCAGCCGCGGUAAUAC
rnacentral:rRNA from 1 species